AACGAACGCUGGCGGCAUGCCUAACACAUGCAAGUCGAACGUGAUCCGGGGCUUGCUCCGGUGAAAGUGGCGGACGGGUGAGUAACGCGUGGGAACCUGCCCAGUGGUCGGGGAUAACUGCGGGAAACUGCAGCUAAUACCCGGUAAGCCCUUUGGGGGAAAGAUUUAUCGCCAUUGGAGGGGCCCGCGUCGGAUUAGGUAGUUGGUGGGGUAAAGGCCUACCAAGCCUUCGAUCCGUAGCUGGUCUGAGAGGAUGAUCAGCCACACUGGGACUGAGAUACGGCCCAGACUCCUACGGGAGGCAGCAGUGGGGAAUAUUGGACAAUGGGCGCAAGCCUGAUCCAGCAAUGCCGCGUGAGUGAAGAAGGCCUUAGGGUUGUAAAGC
rnacentral:rRNA from 1 species